rnacentral:rRNA from 1 species
UACGUAGGGACCAAGCGUUGUUCGGAUUUACUGGGCGUAAAGGGCGCGUAGGCGGCGCGGUAAGUCACUUGUGAAAUCUCUGAGCUUAACUCAGAACGGCCAAGUGAUACUGCAGUGCUAGAGUGUGGAAGGGGCAAUCGGAAUUCUUGGUGUAGCGGUGAAAUGCGUAGAUAUCAAGAGGAACACCUGAGGUGAAGACGGGUUGCUGGGCCAAACACUGACGCUGAGGCGCGAAAGCCAGGGGAGCAAACGGGA